GUUCUAUUUUGCUUAAAAGAUUGGCUAUUGUAGGCCAAUAUUUAGUAAAAUCAACAAAACAUACAAAUAGUUCAUGGAAAACACAAUUGAAGAUGAAUUUAUCAUGACCCAAAAGAAUUUUUGAAAUCCGUGCAUAUAGAGUCUUCAAAAAGGUCAUGGUAAUUGCCUUUUAUGAAAAAAAAAAAAAAUUUGUAGAAAAAAACUGUGCAUGAAUAUCAAAAUCUUUUCCUGCUGAAAUGAACUUAUUUUUCAAUCCCACUUUCCCCACAAAGUUUUGUAGCAUCUUUGUGUUAGACUUUUUCAGUCAAUUGACUUUUCUUCCUUCUUUGUUCUCCUCCUCCUCCUCCUCUUCACCCUGCUAAAAUACGCUGUUUUUCUCAACUGGCCUCCUCAGUUGUCUGUAAUGGAAUCUACUAGAUAAAGGCUGAGUGCUUCUCCCAAGGUCACCCCCUAAACUGUGGAACUCAGUCUAUGUUUUACAGGUGACAGAUCUGCUCAUAUUAUUUUUAGUUACUUUGAAAUCACCCACCAAUGACAGCAUCUUGGCUUUUAUUCCUGGGUUCUGUGACUGUGAAUGCAGGAGUCAGAGGAGAGAGCUUGCACUGAAGAGCCAGGUCAGAAGGGCAAAAGAAGAACACAGGAAGGAAGCAAAGGAAACAUUUACCGAGAAAGCAGAGACUUGCCAACAGAGAGAGAACCUUCCCAGCCCCCAGGGUAAGAGUGAGCAGUGGCUUGAGAAGACUUUGCAAUGAAGAGCAGAUGGUGUCACCAAUUGCAACAGUGAGCAGAGCAGCAAGAGCCACACAAAUGCAGGUGGCAAAGUCUGAGCCAUAGCAGCAAUACACUGCCCUGGAACUCUGGCGGCAGAAGGGGCUUCGCAUGCACUGAAAACCUGGAGCAAGCACUCAGACACCACUGGUGUCCAUUCAGAAAUUUGCCUCCAGACCCACACUGCAGCCCAGGAAGAGAGCUGGAAGAAGUAAAGGUAGUUUUGCUUUGUCUUGAUUUUCCCUGCUGUCCUUAGGGACUCGAUGUUUUUUGUGUUUCAGGGAUCCAGAGAGAUCUUUAGCCUCUGAGACAGCAAGUCCCCAUUUUCUGGAUUUAAGACCCAGAAAAACAAGGGGAUGGGAUUCUUUUGGAGGAAGUGGGUAGAAGUGUGCAGAUGCCCUGGCGCUCGCUUAGGUGGUAGACUUGGAAGCCGGUGCUUCUUCCUCUUCCGUGAGAGGAGGCAGGGAAGACGUUCUGGGGGGAUUAGCAAUUAGCAUCUUUGCUCUGGGAGUGCCAUAUGCAGCCACCGUUGUCCUCAGCAGCCCAGAGAGGAAGUUGAGGCUCCUACACACAGCCCCUAUAACAGCACAGUCUCUCCACAGCCCAGUCUGCCAAGUGAGAUUCAGCCCUGAGUCUCCAGGAA
rnacentral:lncRNA from 1 species